AUGCAGAUACAUACAUACACAUGCAGAUACACGCAUACACAUGCAGAUACAUACAUACACGUGCAUAUACAUACACACGCAGAUACAUACAUAAACAUGCAGAUACAUGCCUAAAUAUGCAGAUACAUACAUAAACAUGCAGAUACAUACACACAUACACAUGCAGAUGCAUACAUACACAUGCAGAUACAUACAUUAACAUGCAGAUAUAUAAAUACACAUGCAGAUACAUACUUAAACAUGCAGAUACAUACAUACACAUGCAGAUACACACACACACGCGCGCGCACACACACACAUGCUAACAAUAACAAUAACUUUUAAAUUUGAUCUUUUUCAGUAUUUUAACAAGAUGCGACGAAAAACAAAGCUUAACUUACAUAGAGUCAAAUCUAGAAGAUCGAAAUGUGGUUAUGCUGACAUGACGCGAGAACUGCUUCAACUUGUCGCGAAAGAUGAUGUAAACGCUCGGAAAACUUUGUUGCCACAAAAGAAAUUCAUCAACACCAAGAUCUCGAACAAAUCAGCACACCUAUGCAUGACGCCUUCGCGAACCAACAAACGCAAACUGACACCGUUGAAAUCUCCUAUUAAGACUCCUUUCAAAUCUCCCAUUUACAAAGCAAGAGCAAUCGACCAUUUAUAUACCGUACGGGACGAUCGCAUAAAUAUCAUCUGCUGGAGAAGUCUAAGGAUUUAUCAUCAGAGUGUGACCAGAACUGUGCGGCAUGCGUCUCUAGAUUCAGAGCAGUCGUUACUGAUAUUACGAUCAAAGACCAUUUCUUUGAUCAUCGAAAAGGGAGUAAGAAGAAAGGCGGGACCGUUGAUAUGGACAGAAACUCUAUACAAAAAGGCGCCCUUGGUGUUAGGUGGGAAAAAGCUAGAAGAAAUGAUUCCAAAAUGCUGGUUACUUCUAAAAUGGGCUUAACAGACGUCAUCUAACUUUCAUUGUGUUUUGUUUACUAUAUUAAAACAGCAAAACGAUGAAUUCGAAUGUAAAUAAUAUAGAUUAUAUACCAGCAACAUGUAAUGACAUAUUCAUUUAAAGGUAAAUAUAUGUACUUAUGCGAACAUUUACCAACUGAAUGUGCAUGUGUUUCUCCAUAUUGUAUACGUAUCCCAUGCGUAAGUGGCGUAUGUGGAUACGCAACUUAUUG